UGCACCUUCACCCAGAGCGGUCGGGGGAU
rnacentral:sRNA from 1 species